CAAUAGCGUAUAUUAAAGUUGUUGCAGUUAAAAAGCUCGUAGUUGGAUUUCUGGUAGGAGCGACCGUGCCGAACUUGAUUGUUCGAGUAUUGUGUUGUCUUCAGCCAUCCUCGUGGAGAACUUUUCUAACAUUAACUUGUUGGGAUUGGGACCCGCGUCGUUUACUGUGAAAAAAUUAGAGUGUUUAAAGCAGGCAUUAGCUUGAAUACAUUAGCAUGGAAUAAUAAGAUAGGACUUUGGUACUAUUUUGUUGGUUUGCACACCAAAUUAAUGAUCAACAGGAACAGUUUGAGGAUAUUCGUAUGAACAUGUCAGAGGUGAAAUUCUUGGAUUUUGAUCAGACGAACUACUGCGAAAGCAUUUAUCAAGGAUGUUUUCAUUAA
rnacentral:rRNA from 1 species